GGAAGUAGCUGUGCACCAGGUCCACAGAUGGACCGAAACUGGCAGCUUUAGCUACUCCACCCACAGUUCAAAACAGCCCCUGGUGGCUUGUGAUGAGGUGGACAGCAGCAUCCCCUUCCAGGGUCUUGAGGCUGGCAUUGCUUGUGGUCAAACCAGGGAAGAAAGGGAGGAAGAAGGAAGAAUGGAAAAGAAGAGCAGGAAGAAGGGAAAGGAGAAACAGCCAGAAUAUUCUACAAUUGCUAUUUGAGAGCAUCUUAUUAACUAGACAUUUACGUAGAAAAUAAAAAUUAAAUAAAUC
rnacentral:lncRNA from 1 species